CCUACGGGAGGCAGCAGUGAGGAAUAUUGGUCAAUGGACGAGAGUCUGAACCAGCCAAGUAGCGUGAAGGAUGACUGCCCUAUGGGUUGUAAACUUCUUUUAUAUGGGAAUAAAAUGUUCCACGUGUGGGAUUUUGUAUGUACCAUAUGAAUAAGGAUCGGCUAACUCCGUGCCAGCAGCCGCGGUAAUACGGAGGAUACGAGCGUUAUCCGGAUUUAUUGGGGUUAAAGGGAGCGUAGGCCGGCGUGUAAGUCAGCUGUGAAAGUCCGCGGCUCAACCGUGGAAUUGCAGUUGAAACUGGAGGCCUUGAGUGCACACAGGGAUGCUGGAAUUCAUGGUGUAGCGGUGAAAUGCGUAGAUAUCAUGAAGAACUCCGAUCGCGAAGGCGAGUGUCCGGGGUGCAACUGACGCUGAGGCUCGAAAGUGCGGGUAUCAAACAGGAUUAGAUACCCGGGUAGUC
rnacentral:rRNA from 1 species